CCUACGGGAGGCAGCAGUGGGGGAUAUUGCGCAAUGGGGGAAACCCUGAUGCAGCGACGCCGCGUGGGUGAAGAAGCGCCUCGGCGCGUAAAGCCCUGUCAGCAGGGAAGAAAAUGACGGUACCUGAAGACGAAGCCCCGGCUAACUACGUGCCAGCAGCCGCGGUAAUACGUAGGGGGCAAGCGUUAUCCGGAUUUACUGGGUGUAAAGGGGGCGCAGACGGGGAUGCAAGCCAGGAGUGAAAGCCCGGGGCCCAACCCCGGGACUGCGCUUGGAACUGCGUGGCUAGAGUGCAGGAGGGGCAGGUGGAAUUCCUGGUGUAGCGGUGAAAUGCGUAGAUAUCAGGAGGAACACCGGUGGCGAAGGCGGCCCGCUGGACUGCAACUGACGUUGAGGUCCGAAAGCGUGGGGAGCAAACAGGAUUAGAUACCCCAGUAGUC
rnacentral:rRNA from 1 species